CAAUCUUCUGCCUUCAUUAUUUUAUUUUAUAAAUUUAAGACAACUUUAGUUUCCUAUUCAAAUUCUUUUUAGAAAAAUUUCAGGGCCACUUAGGGUUAGAUGAUAAAUAGCUAGCAACAAUUAUUUUGAUGGCAGGCUUUAUUUUCUAAGCUUCUGGGAUAAAAAUGUAACAGGACAGUCUUCAGAGAGUGAAAACAGAAACAUUAGAUUUAGCUAGAAAUUCACAUCAUGGGAUUCUUGAGAGGAAGAGAUGUAAAUGAAUAGUAGACAUUUUGUAAAUAAGAUUGAUGAGGGGACUGAAUCUGGCACUACCAAGAAUAGAGAAACCUUAGGCAAAAUAUUGUAUAGACAAAUUCCACUUAAGACUGACAAAGCAGCCCUCUUUGUUCUCAGGUCCCUGCCAGGCCAUCCACCCCAACCGCUUCCUGCUGACCCUCCAAACACAAAGCUUUCUGUCCUAGGGGGAAGCCUUGGGCCUCUGUGGAUACACUUACUGGCUUUGUAGAUAAGCACCAUCAGGGCAAGAAUCCCAGCGAUCUUAUUCAACUCUCUAUGCCAUCUGACAUAAGUGGUAUUUAUUUGAUGUGUGAUUUAUUGACAAGGUAAAGAGGAAGAUUGAACUUGAGGACUUCCAGGUAAUAAAUAACUUUUAAGUGUUUCUUUGUGCUUCCCCACACCCAACCAGUUCAGAUAUUAUAGCAUGACUUAUAAAAGUAAUUGACUUCUUUUAUUAAUUAUUAUAAUUUCUGCCUGUUGGACUUGCCCAACAGCAGAGUAUUUAUUCUUUCAGUAUUGCCAUCUGUUCUUUAUGUGAUCACGGUCUACCUACUAUUGGUAACAUAAAGUUAGAUAGCUACAAAUGGCUUUUCACAGUGUCCUCAUAAAAUGCAGUUAUGAGUUUUAGGUUUCAUUGAGACACAGAAACAAAAAAUACUUUUGGUACAAAGGGAUUUCUGUUUCUCUCCAAUCUGUGAAUCAGCCUGAUUAAAAAACAAUAUAAUGGUGGUGAAAUGAAUAUAGUUAAUAGUUGUAUAUAUUACCAACCUCUUUCCUGCACAUUUCAUGGGUUAUUAGUCUAAUACUAAAUGUGCCCCUCCCAGCUUCCUAGGAAUACUGAUAGCAAAGCUUCAAGUUCAAGAGUAUUUGAGAAGGGUUGUGUGUAGGUAAACCAAGUUAAUGGGUCCGUAUGGUAUGUUUUGAUGAGCUUUUCUCUUAUUGGCCCUGAUGACCUAUUUGAAAUACUUACGCUUCUUGCAUAAAAAGUUCUCAAUCAUCCAUUAAAAUUUAAGUAUUCCUUGAAGGGUUACAUUAAGCUACUUUCAAUCACUGGAAUUAGUUUAUCAGAUUUUUUAAAGAUGAAUGCAUGUUCCUUGUUCAAAAAACAAAUUCAAAUAGUACAAAAGGUUUACAAAGAGAAAAGUUUCUUUCCCUAUUCAAAUUUCACUCUUUGAUAUCUUCUAGAAAUUUGCUUUGCAUAUGUAAGUACUUAGUUGCCAGUUUUUUUUUUCAAAUGGGACAAUCCAUAUAUUUAAAAGAUAAUAGUCUUUUCCCUUAUACCUGCCUCCUUUAUUUCACUCCUAGAGGAAACUGAUAUUAACAGCGUUUCUCAGUGCUCAGAUAAAAGCAAAUAUAAUGUCUGAUUUUGAAAAAUAAAAGGAUACUCUACCCAUUGUUUGGUGACUAUCUUCUCACAUAACAUUACAUGCCCACCCCUAAAGAGUAACAUGUAAACUUUUCCUUUUAACAGCUACACAAUACUGCUUAACAUGAAUGUACCAUAACUAAUUGCAACUACUAUAUUGUAAUAAGUAUAUAGUAGUCUUACAUGCUCAUGUUGUAUUUCAAUAAUAUGAAUUACCAAAAGUGAAAUCUGUGAUUAAAAGGGUAUGUGUAUAUUACAUUUUCAGUGAUAUGGUCAGAUUUCAAAAGUGUAGCAAUUCAUCCUUUAACUCCCAUCAACAAUGUCUGAGUGUUACCGUCCUUUCACAUCCUUGACAGCACUGGAUUUUAUCUUCUUUGUAAUUUGUCUACUGCUUUUACUUGUAUUUGCCCAGUAGGUUGAACAUUUUAAAAUGAGUAUUAGCCAAUUGAGUUUACUCUUUUAUGAAUUAACCAUUCAUAUCUUUUGUCAAUGUUUCUAUUGAGUUGCUUAUAUAUUAUUAUAAUUAAAUUUCUAGAAUUCGUUGUAUAUUGGUGGUAUAAUUGGUGGUAAUACAUGUUGCAAGUAUAUUUUCCUAGUCAGUGAUGAGAGAGGUGAUUUGACAUAGUGUUCAUUUUCUGGAGCCAAACUGUUUGAGUUCAAAGUCUAGGUUUAUUAUUUAUCCAUUAUAUUAUCUUGGACUAUAAAUUCACCAUCUGAAAUAUGGGGAAGAUAACAUUACUCAGUUCAUAAGAUAGGAUGAGGAAUAAAUGAAAGAAUAAAUGUAGAACAUGAGAAAGCACCUGGUGCACAGAAAGCGAGUACUUUUUAUUUGUUAGCAUAUUUAUCUAAUAUAUUUUGUUCUAAAAACCUUUUGAAUUGUUAUAUAGGAUCUAUGUUUAUUAGUUUGCUUAAUGGUUCCUGAAUUUCCUGUCUUGCUUGUGAAGAUUUCCUCUGCUUCAUGAUUAUGCAAACUAAUAGCCUGAUUUUUUCAGUUAAACUUAAAUCCAUAUGUAACUUAUUUAGUAUAUAGAGUGAAACAAAGAAUUCAUAAUUGAAUUUUUUCCUGGAUAAUUAGCCUACUAUAUUUACAGUA